rnacentral:lncRNA from 1 species
CUUACAAAGGCCUGUGAAACGCAGUUGUUUCCAGCCCUGAUCUCACUGAAGUAGAACUUCUGCUCUGCCGUGUCCUACAUUGCCCUAGAGGUGCAAGGCACAAUGUCAUGCCUUGUUUCCUGAAGGGUAGACAGGCCACAAAGCUUCUUGCUUCCACAUCUUUGCAAAGCUAAGAAACAACUCGCUCUCCUCAAUUCUCUUACAGCCUACCGGGAACAUCUCUCACAAAGGCCUGUGAAACGCAGUUUCUUCCCAGCCAUGAUGUCACUGAAGUAGAGAUUCUGCUCUGCCAUGUAAUACAUUGACCUGGAUGUGGAAGUCACAAAUCUCUGUCUGGCUUUCUGAAGAGGAGACACACCAAAGACCGACUUGCUUCCAGCUCUUUUGCAAGGUGAGAAAGAACUCUCCUUUCCUAGGCUCUAACAGCCUACCAGCAACCACUCAUACAAAGUCCUGAGACGCAGUUUGUUUCCAACCGUGAUCUCACUGCCUUGAAACUUCUGCUGUAAGCCAUGUCCUACAUCGCUCUAGAGGUGGAAGACACAAAGCGCUGAGUAAUUGCUGCUAAAAGAGACAAGCCACAAACGGUCUUGUUUCCAGCUCUUUGGGAAGCUAAGAAACAC